GACGAACGCUGGCGGCGUGCCUAAUACAUGCAAGUAGAACGCUGAAGGAGGAGCUUGCUUCUCUGGAUGAGUUGCGAACGGGCGAGUAACGCGUAGGUAACCUGCCUGGUAGCGGGGGAUAACUAUUGGAAACGAUAGCUAAUACCGCAUAAGAGUAGAUGUCGCAUGACAUUUGCUUAAAAGGUGCAAUUGCAUCACUACCAGAUGGACCUGCGUUGUAUUAGCUAGUUGGUGAGGUAACGGCUCACCAAGGCAACGAUACAUAGCCGACCUGAGAGGGUGAUCGGCCACACUGGGACUGAGACACGGCCCAGACUCCUACGGGAGGCAGCAGUAGGGAAUCUUCGGCAAUGGACGGAAGUCUGACCGAGCAACGCCGCGUGAGUGAAGAAGGUUUUCGGAUCGUAAAGCUCUGUUGUAAGAGAAGAACGAGUGUGAGAGUGGAAAGUUCACACUGUGACGGUAUCUUACCAGAAAGGGACGGCUAACUACGUG
rnacentral:rRNA from 1 species